UGGCAACAGAACACUCAAAAGGCACCCUGGACUCUGAAAAAUCAAACCUUCAAACAGAGAACAUCCAGGUGCUGGGACUGCUACCUUGCUGAAGGGUGUUUCUGCCUUCCGUGG